GCCGUGGUGGUUCAGUGGUAGAGCCUUGCCUCCCAUGCAGGAGACCAGGGUUCAAUUCCCGGCCAAUGCA
rnacentral:tRNA from 1 species